CAGUAGCCGCGGUAAUACGGAGGGGGCUAGCGUUGUUCGGAAUUACUGGGCGUAAAGCGCACGUAGGCGGCUUGGUAAGUUAGAGGUGAAAGCCUGGAGCUCAACUCCAGAAUUGUCUUUAAGACUGCCGAGCUAGCAGGUGAGAGAGGUAAGUGGAAUUCCGAGUGUAGAGGUGAAAUUCGUAGAUAUUCGGAAGAACACCAGUGGCGAAGGCGGCUUACUGGCUCAUACUGGACGCUGAGGUGCGAAAGCGUGGGGAGCAAACGGGAUUAGAUACCCCCGUAGUCCCUGUCUCUUAUAC
rnacentral:rRNA from 1 species